GACGAACGCUGGCGGCGUGCUUCACACAUGCAAGUCGAACGAAGUGGCGCACGGGUGAGUAACGCGUAAUCAAACUGCCCUUCAGAGGGGGACAACAGGUGGAAACGACUGCUAAUACCGCAUACUGCAGGAGGGGAUUGCGUCUGAUUAGCUAGUUGGCGGGGUAACGGCCCACCAAGGCGAUGAUCAGUAGCCGGUCUGAGAGGAUGAACGGCCACAUUGGGACUGAGACACGGCCCAGACUCCUACGGGAGGCAGCAGUGGGGAAUCGUCCGCAAUGGACGAAAGUCUGACGGAGCAACGACGCGUGAGUGAUGACGGCCUUCGGGUUGUAAAGCUCUGUUAAUCGGGACGCGGUACCGGAAUAGAAAGCCACGGCUAACUACGUGCCAGCCGCCGCGGUAAUUC
rnacentral:rRNA from 1 species